rnacentral:rRNA from 1 species
GACGGGGGGGGCAAGUGUUCUUCGGAAUGACUGGGCGUAAAGAGCUCGUAGGCGGUCUGUCGCGUCUGCUGUGAAAACCCGGGGCUCAACCCCGGGCUUGCAGUGGAUACGGGCAGACUAGAGUUCGGUAGGGGAGACUGGAAUUCCUGGUGUAGCGGUGAAAUGCGCAGAUAUCAGGAGGAACACCGAUGGCGAAGGCAGGUCUCUGGGCAUUAACUGACGCUGAGGAGCGAAAGCAUGGGGAGCGAACAGG